GGCCUUAUGGUGUAACGGUAAGCACUGCUGCUGCAUCUACUUGCACUCUGCGCAAUGUCGGUUUAAGCAGCCGGGUUGGGUUCGAUUCCCAAUGGGGCCC